GCCCGGUUCGUCUAGCGGUCCAGGACAUCGCCCUCUCACGGCGAAGAUCACGGGUUCGAAUCCCGUACCGGGUACCA
rnacentral:tRNA from 4 species